rnacentral:rRNA from 1 species
AUUGAACGCUGGCGGCAGGCCUAACACAUGCAAGUCGAGCGGAAACGAGUUAUCUGAACCUUCGGGGAACGAUAACGGCGUCGAGCGGCGGACGGGUGAGUAAUGCCUAGGAAAUUGCCCUGAUGUGGGGGAUAACCAUUGGAAACGAUGGCUAAUACCGCAURAUGCCUACGGGCCAAAGAGGGGGACCUUCGGGCCUCUCGCGUCAGGAUAUGCCUAGGUGGGAUUAGCUAGUUGGUGAGGUAAGGGCUCACCAAGGCGACGAUCCCUAGCUGGUCUGAGAGGAUGAUCAGCCACACUGGAACUGAGACACGGUCCAGACUCCUACGGGAGGCAGCAGUGGGGAAUAUUGCACAAUGGGGCGCAAGCCUGAUGCAGCCAUGCCGCGUGUGUGAAGAAGGCCUUCGGGUUGUAAAGCACUUUCAGUCGUGAGGAAGGUAGUGUAGUUAAUAGCUGCAUUAUUUGACGUUAGCGACAGAAGAAGCACCGGCUAACUCCGUGCCAGCAGCCGCGGUAAUACGGAGGGUGCGAGCGUUAAUCGGAAUUACUGGGCGUAAAGCGCAUGCAKGUGGUUUGUUAAGUCAKAUGUGAAAGCCCGGGGCUCAMCCUCGGAAUARCAUUUGAAACUGGCAKACUARAGUACUGUAGAGGGGGGUAGAAUUUCAGGUGUAGCGGUGAAAUGCGUAGAGAUCUGAAGGAAUACCGGUGGCGAAGGCGGCCCCCUGGACAGAUACUGACACUCARAUGCGAAAGCGUGGGGAGCAAACAGGAUUAGAUACCCUGGUAGUCCACGCCGUAAACGAUGUCUACUUGGAGGUUGUGGCCUUGAGCCGUGGCUUUCGGAGCUAACGCGUUAAGUAGACCGCCUGGGGAGUACGGUCGCAAGAUUAAAACUCAAAUGAAUUGACGGGGGCCCGCACAAGCGGUGGAGCAUGUGGUUUAAUUCGAUGCAACGCGAAGAACCUUACCUACUCUUGACAUCCAGAGAACUUUCCAGAGAUGGAUUGGUGCCUUCGGGAACUCUGAGACAGGUGCUGCAUGGCUGUCGUCAGCUCGUGUUGUGAAAUGUUGGGUUAAGUCCCGCAACGAGCGCAACCCUUAUCCUUGUUUGCCAGCGAGUAAUGUCGGGAACUCCAGGGAGACUGCCGGUGAUAAACCGGAGGAAGGUGGGGACGACGUCWAGUCAUCAUGGCCCUUACGAGUAGGGCUACACACGUGCUACAAUGGCGCAUACRGAGGGCGGCCAACUUGCGAAAGUGAGCGAAUCCCAAAAAGUGCGUCGUAGUCCGGAUUGGAGUCUGCAACUCGACUCCRUGAAGUCGGAAUCGCUAGUAAUCGUGGAUCAGAAUGCCACGGUGAAUACGUUCCCGGGCCUUGUACACACCGCCCGUCACACCAUGGGAGUGGGCUGCAAAAGANGUAGGUAGUUUAACCUUCGGGGGGACGCUUACCACUUUGUGGUUCAUGACUGGGGUGAAGUCGUAACAAGGUAACC